AGUGAACGCUGGCGGUAGGCCUAACACAUGCAAGUCGAACGGCAGCACAGUAAGAGCUUGCUCUUACGGGUGGCGAGUGGCGGACGGGUGAGGAAUACAUCGGAAUCUACUUUUUCGUGGGGGAUAACGUAGGGAAACUUACGCUAAUACCGCAUACGACCUACGGGUGAAAGCAGGGGAUCUUCGGACCUUGCGCGAUUGAAUGAGCCGAUGUCGGAUUAGCUAGUUGGCGGGGUAAAGGCCCACCAAGGCGACGAUCCGUAGCUGGUCUGAGAGGAUGAUCAGCCACACUGGAACUGAGACACGGUCCAGACUCCUACGGGAGGCAGCAGUGGGGAAUAUUGGACAAUGGGCGCAAGCCUGAUCCAGCCAUACCGCGUGGGUGAAGAAGGCCUUCGGGUUGUAAAGCCCUUUUGUUGGGAAAGAAAAGCAGCAGGUUAAUACCCCGCUGUGCUGACGGUACCCAAAGAAUAAGCACCGGCUAACUUCGUG
rnacentral:rRNA from 1 species